UACGGAGGGAGCUAGCGUUGUUCGGAAUUACUGGGCGUAAAGCGCGCGUAGGCGGUUGGCUAAGUCAGAUGUGAAAGCCCUGGGCUCAACCUGGGAAUGGCAUUUGAAACUGGCUGGCUAGAGUGUGAUAGAGGAUGGCGGAAUUCCCGGUGUAGCGGUGAAAUGCGUAGAGAUCGGGAGGAACAUCCGUGGCGAAGGCGGCCAUCUGGAUCAACACUGACGCUGAGGCACGAAAGCGUGGGGAGCAAACAGG
rnacentral:rRNA from 1 species